rnacentral:lncRNA from 1 species
CACUUCUUAUUUUGAGACAGGGUCUCCCGAAGUUGCCGAGGCCAGCCUCGAACUUCUGACCCUCCUGCCGCAGCCUCCUGAGUGCCUGGGCUUACAGAGGUGCGCCCCUGUGCCCGGCUGAGCCAGGCCCAUCUAAAGUCCUAAUCCCGAGUCUCCUCCCAGGACUGCAGCUUGGCAACAGCCAGGUGACUCCCCCUCUGGGACUUGUAAUUAGUGCACAGAAAGAGUUCUUUGUGAUCCACAGAUGAAAGGCCCUGGCUAUGCCAUGUCAUCACCACAAUCGGAGUUUCUCCAUCUGUAAAAUGGACUGUAAUGAGCAGCUUGUUCACAGAGCUCCUGAGAUGAAAGGGCCAGGAAGUGGCCGGCCGGAACCAGCCCUGUGCAGGGUGGCCUCCGCCCUGCCCUCCCUCUGCUGCUCCCUGGGCUCCGGUGCCCCUGAGUGGCCAAAGAGGAGGACGGAGGGGCCUGAGCUGGACAGAGCAGGGGUGCUCCUGUGGACUUGCUUCCCUGCCAGAGUUCAUCUGAAGGCAAGGUUCCCAUGGGUUCCACAUGCUCACAAACAGCUGUUUUCUGCUGGGGGAGUAAAUGGGAAAAGGCUCUCCUGGUGUCUUAGCUGUGUGACCUUGGGCAAGCAGCUUCCCAUCUCUGUGCUGUUUUUCUGAACAGUAAAGGGUGAAAAAUACUGCCUCCAAGGUUUGGUGUAAGGAUUAAAU